GUACGCUAUUCAGUAGUUUGUAUCCGUGGCUCAGAGUAAACGCUGGCGGUAGGCCUAACACAUGCAAGUCGAACGGCAGCACAGUAAGAGCUUGCUCUUAUGGGUGGCGAGUGGCGGACGGGUGAGGAAUACAUCGGAAUCUACCUUUUCGUGGGGGAUAACGUAGGGAAACUUACGCUAAUACCGCAUACGACCUUCGGGUGAAAGCAGGGGACCUUCGGGCCUUGCGCGGAUAGAUGAGCCGAUGUCGGAUUAGCUAGUUGGCGGGGUAAAGGCCCACCAAGGCGACGAUCCGUAGCUGGUCUGAGAGGAUGAUCAGCCACACUGGAACUGAGACACGGUCCAG
rnacentral:rRNA from 1 species